AUUGAACGCUGGCGGCAUGCUUUACACAUGCAAGUCGAACGGCAGCGCGGACUUCGGUCUGGCGGCGAGUGGCGAACGGGUGAGUAAUAUAUCGGAACGUACCCAAGAGUGGGGAUAACGUAGCGAAAGUUACGCUAAUACCGCAUACGAUCUAAGGAUGAAAGCAGGGGAUCGCAAGACCUUGUGCUCCUGGAGCGGCCGAUAUCUGAUUAGCUAGUUGGUGAGGUAAAGGCUCACCAAGGCAACGAUCAGUAGCUGGUCUGAGAGGACGACCAGCCACACUGGAACUGAGACACGGUCCAGACUCCUACGGGAGGCAGCAGUGGGGAAUUUUGGACAAUGGGGGCAACCCUGAUCCAGCAAUGCCGCGUGAGUGAAGAAGGCCUCGGUUGUAAGUACGU
rnacentral:rRNA from 1 species